GACGAACGCUGGCGGCGUGCCUAACACAUGCAAGUCGAACGGAGAUUUCAGUAAUGAAAUCUUAGUGGCGAACGGGUGAGUAACGCGUAGACAACCUGCCUUUUAGAUGGGGACAACACCGCGAAAGUGGUGCUAAUACCGAAUGUCGUAUUUUGGUUGCAUGAUCGAAAUACUAAAGAUGGCCUCUAUUUAUAUGCUAUCGCUAAAAGAUGGGUCUGCGUCUGAUUAGCUAGUUGGUGAGGUAAUGGCUCACCAAGGCGACGAUCAGUAGCCGGUCUGAGAGGAUGAACGGCCACACUGGGACUGAGACACGGCCCAGACUCCUACGGGAGGCAGCAGUGGGGAAUCUUCCGCAAUGGACGAAAGUCUGACGGAGCAACGCCGCGUGAGUGAAGAAGGUUUUCGGAUCGUAAAACUCUGUUUUCAGGGGCGAAUGUGCGAUGUGUAAAUAAUGCAUUGUAAUGACGGUACCUGAGUAGAAAGCCACGGCUAACUACGUGCCAGCCGCCGCGGUAA
rnacentral:rRNA from 1 species